AUGUCACAAGGACGGUUGGCCCCGAUGCGGGGGCACACGUUAAUGCCUAUCUGGAAUACAGAAGAAUUGUUGGCGAUGAUGAUGGGGGUGUCAUGAUGUCACCUGAGGACUUUGAAGACUACCAGAGAAGAGUUCUGCCAAUGCGUCAAAAGAACCGCCUGUAUGUCAGCUGGUAUUCUCCACCGACUGGUAUCGACUGCAAGCUGGUUGGCCCAGAGAUGCCAUGCUUCUGUACUCACAGAUAUAAGCAACACAAAACAUACUUUGAAACAAUCCCGGAGGCCCGCCCCAUCCUU